UUUCCCUUCCCCUCACUCGCCCCCAUCUCCCUCUGCCCCGCUCACACCCGCCGCCGUCCGCGACCCCCAUGGCCGCACCGCCGUGAAGCUUGCGGCCACAGUCGACCCCGGCAACUAGGAGCUUGACCAUCGGCCUCGUCAUCCUCGUCUACAUCGUCCCCGCCUCUGGAUCGAGGCCAAAACGCUGCCUCGCCGUCGCUAGCCUCCUGCAUCUCCAUCACGCCCGCCGCGUUUCGCCGUUCACCUGCGCAUCCUCGACCAGCCACGGCCGCCCCGAGCACGCCAUCGAGCUCCGCGGUGAGCACCGUGCCGAUUUCCCUAUUUUCCCCUGCCUCCCGUUGUCGUAGCCGUCAUGCCUACCCAUGGCUGCCAUGGACGAAGAUCGCCGUUGCCGCGGCCAGAGCCCGCGCCCAGGUCGCGCCCCGGCCUUCCGCUGUCCGCGCUCGGCCGCGCCCCCGCAGCGCUCGUUCCUGCCUUGGUGUUGCCCUGUGCCGUGCGCUGCUGCUCGCCAUCAGCUGCUUUCCGCUGGCCCCUGGCUGCGACUGCUACUUGCUUUUGCCUGCUGCUGUUGUCGCCAUCCCUGCCCGCGCCCGCCUGAGCGGCUGCGCCGGGCCACGGCUGCUCCCGUACGUGCCUGCCGCUGCUGGCUUCGGCAGCGCUCGUGCGUGCACACCAGCCAUGGCUGAGCGCCCGUGCUAGUGUGUGCGUUAUGGGCGUGCGUGAUGUGUGUGCGUAUGAGUAGGGCCGGCCUGUGUGUGCGUAUGAGUAGAGCCGGCCCUCUCUUUAGAUUAGGGGCUAAUCCCUUUUUAAGCUAAUCCUCUGUUAGUUUAAUUUAAUUGCAGGUCUAGUUUAGUAGUACCAAAUGACAUGUGGGUCCCCUUUAAUUAAGUUAAAUAAAUUAUUUUAGAAUUUUAAUAAAACACUGACGUGUGGGACCCCUAGGCCCAUUGACCAGUCAACGGGUCAACGUUGAUUGCUGACUGGGCAGUCAACGGGCCCACUGUCAUCAUCUGGUGCGCUGCACCGGGUGCACCUAGCAAUUUCCUGUUUAUUUUUCGAAUUAGUAAUAAUUUCAAAAAAUUCAGAAAAUGUUUAAAUCUUUGAAAAAUCGUAGAAAAAUAACCCUAGCUCGGAUCGAAAACCUUUAUACAUGAAAAUUCCUCAGAAAAAUCCAACGAAUCCGAAUACGAGGUCCGUUUUCCUGUCAGAUGCCUCUAACUAUCUGAACAUGGAACAUUGCCCCUCCGGUCAUCUGUCUGACACAGGUCCGGAACCGGGAAUACCUUCCCAGUUGAAUUCCCCCUUCAUCUGUUUCGUGCAGCACUACGUUAGAACAUUCAUAGUGCUGCGUAUUGCCAUGUUAUGCCUUGUGAUGCUUUGUUUGCUCUGUAUUUACUGUUUCUCCCACCUCUUCUCUUUAGUCGACCCUGUGGCGGCUGCCGAUACUGCUGUGAUCGACUACGUCAAUGACGACCCCUCCUUGUCUGAGCAAUCAGGCAAGCCCCCCUUUGAUCAUCCCGAUAUCGCCCAUUCCAUUCUCUCAUGCUUGCAUUAGAUUUUGCUACUGUAUUUGAUUGCUCCUAUUCUGAUGCAUAGCCUGCUUUUGUAACCUGUUUAUUAUUACCUACCUGGUUAUCCUAAACUGCUUAGUAUAGGUUGGUUAGUGAUCCAUCAGUGACCCCCACCUUGUCCCAGUUGCCUCGCUUUAUGUUUGAUGACUCGAUCAACGUGAUCGACGUUCAGGCCCUGACACCGCACAUCACCUCCCCUAGUUGUACGACUCUACAGAGUUACCAUCGAGUGCCGAGGGUGAAAACUCUUACAUCACUCUUGAUGAGAUCUCUGUAGUGUAGCUAUUCGGUCGUGGUCAUCGAGGGUGAUUUCCUCCUUAACCACUUCCGAUACGGCUUUGUCGUGCAACCCCUCAAGUGUGAACCUCGAGGGUGGAUCCUCUUAUGUUCACCUUGGUGAUUACAUCGAGUGGAAUUCACCGGGGGUAAUUCCUCGGGUUUUCCCCUUGGUGUUAGACACACUGUUACUAUGGUGACUAUGACUUACACUGAACCAUGUUACUAAAGACGGGUCGGCCUUGAGGGGUACCCGCGCGAGCUUAUUUGCGAGUGAUGUGGAGUCGGGUUGACCUGGAAGGUGCCCGUGAGAUUCUUACGAGGCGUGGCCGGGCAUUAUUAGCCCUUGCCACAAGUCCUCGAGACGGGGCGACGGGGUCACAUCUUUCGUGAGUCUCUACUUGUUACUGCGUACUCCUAAUCCACUACAAUUUGGAUAUUUGAUCUGAGGGGCCUCUGGCCUGAUAGCACUAACCAUCACGUGGGCAUAGUAUGGGCGUUCUGCAUCGUAUCCAUCAGCCGAAGUUUAAUAGAUGUCAGCGACUGAGCGGCGCGCGCCGGGUUGGACUGCGUAAGCUCCUGCCUUGUUUAAGAAGGUAGCUAGGUCUGCUCAUCGACCGCGUACGCAAUGUGCAGGAGUUCCCGGGGAGAUGGCCCAUGACCCCUGGGGGCAUAGGCUUAGUCCGGCGUGCGGACCUCUCUAUUAAGCCUAGGUCGGGUUGUGGCGUAUUGUUUGGCCGAGGCCGGGCAUGACCCAGGAAAGUGUGUCCGGCCGAAGUUAAUCGAGCGUGGUGGGUAAGUUGGUGCACCCCUGCAGGGAAGAAAACAUCUAUCGAUAGCCUAUCCUAUGGUAACGGACACUUAGAGUUGUAUCCCGAUCGAUACAACUAGAACUGAAUACUGAGAUGAGAAAUGAAUUGUGAUGAGAAAUGGAUAGUAUGGCUCUGGGAUUGCUUUCUCGCAGGGAGUCGAGAAAGGAUCUCUGGCCGAGGUUGAUAACACUACUACUACUUUACUUUAUGCUACUCUACUCCCUCCUGUUGCUGCAAGUUUGUGGUUUCCAAAAGAUGCUAGUCUUCGAUAGGACUAGCUUCUCCCCCUCUUAUUCUAGCAUUUCUGCAGCCCAGUCCAUAUAUACAGCCUUCCUUUGAUGAUGUUGCAUAUGUAGUGUAGAUCCUUGCAUGCUGAGUACUUCGGAUGAGUACUCACGGUUGCUUUACUUCCUCUCCCCCCUUUUUCCAUUCUUCUCGGAUGUCGCAGCCAGAUGGUGGAGCCAAGAAUCCAGACGCCACCUUCGACGACGACUACUACUACACUAAGGGUGCCUACUACUACAUGGAGGCCGCCAACGACCAGGAGUAGUUAGGAGGCUUCCGGGCAGGAGGCCUUACCUUUUCGAUCGUAGUUGCUUUUGUGCUAGCCUUCUUAAGGCAAAUUGGUUUAACUUAUGUCUGUACUCAGAUAUUGUUGCUUCUGCUGACUCGUUUGUAUUCGAGCUUAUGUAUUCGAGCCCUCGAGGCCUCUGGCUUGUAAUAUAAAGCUUGUAUUAUUUUAAUUUGUAUCUAGAGUUGUGUUGUGAUAUCUUCCCGUAAGUCCUCGAUCUUGCUCGUACACUUUUGCAUGUAUGAUUAGUGUAUGAUUGAAUCGGGGGCGUCACAAGUUGGUAUCAGAGCCGACUGCCUAUAGAUAGCCCCCUUUUCAACUCCUUGGACGAAGUUGAGUCUAGUCGUCCAAAAUUGUUUUACUAACUUGGCUGUGUGGCUUACGGGCCCACGUCGCCAUUGGGUGGUAUUAGAAUGUUUUAUUCCUCAACCUAUACUCUGGGAAUCACAUCUCUCUUCUAUUCGGGUUAAAUGAUUUUGCUAACUCUAACUCUAGGUUCUCGUAAUUACUUCCUCCCGGAGAUUCCCCCACUCAAGAUGAUUGCUUGGUGCACCAAAGGAUUCCGAAGAUACUCUCCGAUGUUCUCUCGAGACUUUGCGCUCGUUGCUUUUGCAAUUCUCUACCACCGAGAAAAAACCCUAUGGAUAACUACGUACACUUGCCAUUCUUACAAUCAUUCCUUGUUAGUCUUGUUAUUACAAGAUACCCUGAAAUUCUCUCUAUUGUUCCGAGAAUACUUUGUGCCUACUGCCUUGCAGUUCCUUGUCACAUGAAUACCCCUACGGAUAAAUUCCUCGCACUUAUCGAGUAUCCGCUCAUUCCCAGUUGUUCAUGUGUUUCAGAAAGGUCUUCGAAAUACUAUUCAACCUUUCGAAAAUCCUCAGUAGCUUAUUGCUCUUGAAAUUUUUGCCUGCUUGCAUUAUGGAUAAUCCCAUAAGUCUAGUAAUCUUAUUGGCAUCCUUUUCACUAUCAUCUUGAGUCCGUUGAUUCAAUAUGUUGUGAAUGCCAGCAAUCCUCAAUCAAAUCCUAGAAUUCAUCCUUCUAGCUCAGACGUCAUUUUGAGCAAGAGCUGGUUCUCGACCUAUCAAAUUGUCGUCGAUUGUACCCCUAAGGCUAUUCAACUUAUACAUCCCUAUUCAAACCAUUGCUUCUGAUCCCUUGUCUUGGAAUUCAUAAUUCCUUUGCAUUUGAGCUUUGAGUUAGUCAGUUGUUUCUAUAAUCUGAUGCACUUGCAUUCCUUCUUCCUUUGAUAGAGUACCGAUACUCACAUCAACUGCGUUGUAGACCACCGGACCUCUUGUUGGAUUAUUAUUCGACAGUGUCCUUAAUAUUCAAAUAACCUUGUGAGACUUUCCACGGAUAUAUAAAGCCUUUGGUAAAUUGUAUCCUCUGCUAUCUCAACCAUGCUCUGUUUUCGAGCUGGUGGUAUUUACUAUUGAAGCUUGUGGUAUAUGUUUCCACGAUACCCUGACGGGUUAAACCUAUGCCUUCCUUAAUAUGUGUGAACUCGAAAGUUUUCAUGAGUCAUACUCUUUUGAUAUUUUGCUAGAUAAAAUUUCAACACUACGACUUCUUCGAAAGUGAGAGGUGAAUGGAAGGUUAUACAUUAAAGAAGUGGGAGUCGACCCUGAAACUUUGUAUUCAUGCCCACGGACACGGUGUGGAACUUAUCAUGAAAGCUUCUUGCAAGGAUAUUUAAUCAUUUGAAUAAUUCUUCCAGUAUCGUAAAUUGGAUCCCUUGCAGUUAUAGUCCCGACCAUAUUUCCUCCUUGAUCCCAUUUAUUGGGUAAGUUAAAAUUACUUAUCCUCUGCAAAUCAUUUCCCCCGUCCAACCUCUACUCCGAUUUACCUUCUGGCAUUACACCUAGUACUUUACUGGGAAGCUUUAUACCCCAUCACAUCAUUCCUAGCUUGAUCGGAUAUUUUUUAUCAUGAUAACUUUUUAACUGUGCUACAUGGUCCUUAUGCCCGGAUCAACUUCCGACGAUGAGCUAAGCUUAUGUCGAUCUUGCUCAUCUUAUCAUUUCACCUUGAACAACAAGCUUGACUUUGAGCUUGUGUCGAAUCUGUGGUUCUCAUAGCCUUUCACUUCAUCCUCUCUUUUUUGCUUGAGGGCAUCUUCAUAGAGUCUCUCGAUAAACUUUGUCUUGAUCACCGUCAACACUUUGGCUUCUUCAGAGAUGUCAAUUGAAUUCAUGGCUAGAAAUACCAUCUUUGCCUCUAGAUCAUUUGUGUCAGCAUCAACAACAUUCUUGUCUUCCCCCCAACACAAACUUGAUCAUAUUAAUUUUGGGAAUACAUCCUUGUUGACAUGUCAAUGGAUUGCUACUAAACCCAUCGGCCACCUCCUCAUCUUUUCCCUAAUAAAAUAACAUGAUAUGUUCUAGAAAUUCCCGAUGGAUCCAUUGUGAAUCCAAGGUCCGACCUUUACCUGAUGACCAUGUCAAUGCUAUCCCGAAGCAUGAUUGUGGUACUCAAACAUCAACAAGAACAUUGGAAGCAUAAUGCUAAAUGUUUCUUGUUCAUUUAUCCAAACAUCGUUGUACGUGUAACAUCAUGAAUUCCCUCACGCCUUUACCUAAAGAGUUUUCUACAUUAUAUCCUGUCAUGGAUAUCAUGCUCUGCCUGACCUUGGGAACGAUAUACCCUUGAAUUAUGUGUUUAAGCACAUUUUCCUUUCCAUUGGUUUGUUUGACCUUUCUUGUGAUCUAUAUAAUCUAAGCAGUAUUAAUUCACUGCUUAUGUAAACACCUCGGUGUACAACUAUGUCAGUGAGACCCUAUUUCUACUGUUGAUGACAUUCCGGUAGCCACCGAUGGAUGAGAAUUUUGCUGAUUGGUCCGCCUCGUUCCACGAGCAAGAAAAUGGUUCUCUUCGUCCCUCGCCCUUGGUACCGACGUUGUUGCCGACGUUAUUGAUAGGCUACCCUCUGACAUGCCUUGCUAUCAUGACCAUGCAAGAUGUCACCGCUCCUCCUACUUUUAACCGACAUGGUGGGCCCAUAACCCACAGUUUCAAAGGAUCGAAACCUGACUCUCCAAUACACCCCAGCUCCUAAAGGUUAUUCCUCAUGCUUGGCUUCGUAUGUAAUUCAUGAGCCACCUUCCAAGAGAUUAUCAAUUCUGGUAUCAGACAUAAUACUUAUUCCCGUUGCUCUAAAACUCCUUUUACACAUUGUUUUAGGCUUCGAACGAUUGCCUACCCGCUUGAAACUUCUCAUGAUACUUUCUUACUUUGCUCUCGAUAUUUUCUUAAGUUUCAGUUCGAGAGUUACUUUCCGCCACCUUCCCCAAUGUUAGCUACCAGAUAGUCAACCUUGCAGGUGCGUUUUCUCCUGGAAUAUACCCACCAUUUAUUAUUUCGUAAGUACAUUGGAGUUUCUGAAGAAACGAUGCCGACUUCAUCGUGAUGACCUAAAGCAGAGGAAUGAAGACAUCAACGUAGUGGACCGACCUCUUCAAGAAGAUCAGCCAAGAACGAGAAGAUCCAUUAGAAUUUCAUACCCACAACUUUCCCCCUAACUCCACCUCUUAAAUUUCGGGACGAGAUUUCUUGUAGUGGGCGAGAUUUGUGACACCCCAAGAAUCAUGCUAUAGUAAUAUCCCCCUAAUAGUGACCAUGUCAUCAUGAUUACUAAGCAAAUUGCCGCCUGUCCCAAUUCAAAGGCAAGAUUCAAAUUUAAAUUGCAAGUGGAAUUAUUCAUUCUUCGAGCAGUAAAACUAAAAUGUCCGCUUUAUUCUAUAAAUCCCAUGAUCGUUGUCAUGUUGAAACCAACUUCAUUUGACUCACCAAUAAAUUCCUAGAAAAAUAAUAAGUGGUCCUACUACAAAUAUAUUGGUCUUUUCAAAUCAAAUAAAUGCUUAUGAAUUUCAAAUUGACUUGAAACUUUGUGGGCCUCUCUAGAGUAAUGACAUAUAUUUAUGUGUGAAGUUUCAUCAAUAGCAACAAUUGUUUGCCCACUCAAAUAAAUGCAAAAAGUAGCUAUUUAGUUGAUAGCAAAAAAAGAGAACAAAAGCCUACCUAAUGUGUACUUGGCCCCUAGGUCUACUCGAAGGCCCAGCCCACAUCCCCCACUUGUCUCCCUCCUCGCGCUACAGGAGACAGGAAGGGGAUCGUGGAAGCCAUCCUAUGGUCGUGGCCACGUGCCGGGCAUCCAUGGCCUCCCCUCACCUACAUAACUACGCCGGCGCCCCCUGGAAACCAUAGCGCCACUUUCCCUUCCCCUCACUCGCCCCCAUCUCUCUCUGCCCCGCUCACACCCGCCGCCGUCCGCGACCCCCAUGGCCGCACCGCCGUGAAGCUUGCGGCCACAGUCGACCCUGGCGCCUAGGAGCUUGACCAUCGGCCUCGUCAUCCUCGUCUACAUCGUCCCCGCCUCUAGAUCGAGGCCAAAAUGCUGCCUCGCCGUCGCUAGCCUCCUGCAUCUCCAUCACGGCCGCCGCGUUUCGCCGGUCACCUGCGCAUCCUCGACCAGCCACGGCCGCCCCGAGCACUCCAUCGAGCUCCGCG
rnacentral:lncRNA from 1 species